rnacentral:rRNA from 1 species
AGCGAACGCUGGCGGCAGGCCUAACACAUGCAAGUCGAACGAACUCUCCGGAGUUAGCGUCGGACGGGUGUGUAACACGUGGGAACGUGCCUUUUGGUUCGGCAGAAAUCAGGGAAACUUGUGCUAAUACCGAAUGUGCCCUUCGAGGGAAAGAUUUAUCGCCAUUAGAGCGGCCCGCGUCUGAUUGGCUAGUUGGUGAGGUAACGGCUAACCAAGGCGACGUUAAGUAGAUGGUCUGAGAGGAUGACCAGCCACACUGGGACUGAGACACGGCCCAGACUCCUACGGGAGGAAGCAGUGGGGAAUCUUGCGCAAUGGGCGAAAGCCUGAAGCAGCCAUGCCGCGUGAAUGAUGAAGGUCUUAGGAUUGUAAAAUUCUUUCACCGGGGACGAUAAUGACGGUACCCGGAGAAGAAGCCCCGGCUAACUUCGUG